GAUGAACGCUAGCGGCAGGCUUAAUACAUGCAAGUCGAGGGGCAGCAGGGGUAGCAAUACCCGCUGGCGACCGGCAAACGGGUGCGGAACACGUACACAACCUUCCUUUAAGUGGGGAUAGCCCAGAGAAAUUUGGAUUAAUACCCCGUAAUAUUAUUUAGUGGCAUCAUUAAAGUAAUUAAAGCUCCGGCGCUUAGAGAUGGGUGUGCGGCUGAUUAGGUAGUUGGUGAGGGUAACGGCCCACCAAGCCUUCGAUCAGUAACUGGUGUGAGAGCACGACCAGUCAC
rnacentral:rRNA from 1 species